rnacentral:siRNA from 1 species
GGCAAGUGGGUGGUGUUUAAGUUA